rnacentral:lncRNA from 1 species
CGCUUUUGCUUUGUUUGGUUUUAUCUUCCUGAAACUUUUUAUUUGAAGAGAGCAAGUCUUUAAAUAGAAAGUGAAUGGAGGGAGGAAGAAUUACAUAAGAAUGUAAAGAGAUGGCUUAGUAGAACUCUGAACAGCAAAAGGCUCACGGAGGUCCAAGCACGUGCCGGAAGGUGGAAACAAGAGGCCUUUGCAUCUUCAGGCAUUUGCUGAGUUGCUCAGACGGUCUGGAUGGUGGAAUUUGCCAGAAAUGGGUCUUCAUUGCAUGGAGUCAGAGACUCAGGGCUCUCAGCUGCCCUGACCGCACCUCCGCCCAAGCCUGAGGCAUUUUGCGCCUGAGAGGAGAGGUGACAGAGUGGGCACAGGAACCAGCCACAACCACAGGGGCUCUUGCAAAUCGCAGCACAUAACAAACAGCCCUUGCCUGGUUUGCAGACAGGUUUAUUUCUGGGAAAGUUAAAUUCAGGACUCGCUCCAUGCAAAAUUGUAAAGUAGCUGUGCGUGUCUACUGCAGAGGCCCAGCCAGAAUACUACGUGGCACUGGGGCAUCUGGAGGACAUACCUGAACCUGCAGAAGGUUGGAGCGUUCCUUACCAUACUCCGGACCUGGCCAGGUCAGAAAGUGGAGCUCUGGAAGUUAAGGAACUUGCCUGGGGCCAUGCUGCUUGCUCAUCUAAGAAAACACAAUAAAGGGUCAGUGCCAUAUAACAAAGCGUGCAGCAUAAAGACACAAUAAUACCCAUUUCUAGGAGUUUUCAAGAAAAUUAAAUACGGUGAUGUGC